UACGAAGGGGGCUAGCGUUGCUCGGAAUUACUGGGCGUAAAGGGCGCGUAGGCGGCCGAUCAAGUCAGAUGUGAAAGUCCUGGGCUUAACCUGGGGACUGCAUUUGAUACUGAUUGGCUUGAAUUCGGGAGAGGAUAGCGGAAUUCCCAGUGUAGAGGUGAAAUUCGUAGAUAUUGGGAAGAACACCGGUGGCGAAGGCGGCUAUCUGGACCGACAUUGACGCUGAUGCGCGAAAGCGUGGGGAGCAAACAGG
rnacentral:rRNA from 1 species